GAGGAACCACUUAAAUAUGGUGGUGUCACAAAAUCGGAGGCCCCGACUGUUUACUAAAAACACAAUUCAGAGCAAUGAUGUAAAUCAUAGUAUUCUGGAUGAAAUUUGCCCGAUGCCAUUAACAUAAAAGAGGUAAUGGGAAACUGUUACUAAUUGAAAGUCUGGUUAAUAGCGGUCUUAACUAUGAGGAUCCUAAGGUAGCAAAAUCAGUUGGCCAUUAAAUGUGGUCUGGUAUCAAUAGUGUAACGAUGGUCUCACUGUCUCUACAACUUGCUCAGUGAAAUUGAAUUAUCCGUGCAGAUGCGGAUUGCCUCCAGGUGGACGGGAAGACCCUAUGCAGCUUCUAC
rnacentral:rRNA from 1 species